GGGAGGGCGGCACAUGUGGAGUAGGGCACUGGCCUCAUAUGCCAGAGGUGGCAGGUUCAAACCCAGCCCCAGCCA
rnacentral:tRNA from 1 species